rnacentral:rRNA from 1 species
AUUGAACGCUGGCGGCAGGCCUAACACAUGCAAGUCGAGCGCGCGGCGGACGGGUGCGUAAUGUCUGGGGCUCUGCCCUAUAGCGGGGGAUAACUUCUGGAAACGGUGGCUACUACCGCAUACUAUCCUAUGCCCCCCUAUGGGAUUAGCGAGUAGGUGGGGUAAAGGCUCACCUAGGCUACGAUCUCUAGCUGGUCUGAGAGGAUGAUCAGCCACACUGGGACUGAGACACGUCCCAGACUCCUACGGGAGGCAGCAGUGGGGAAUAUUGCACAAUGGGCGCAAGCCUGAUGCAGCCAUGCCGCGUGUAUGAAGAAGGCCUUAGGGUUGUAAAGUACUUUCAGCGGGGAGGCGUUACCCGAAGAAGAAGCACCGGCUAACUCCGUGCCAGCAGCCGCGGUAAUUC